CAAUAGCGUAUAUUAAAGCUGUUGCGGUUAAAAAGCUCGUAGUUGGAUUUCUGUCAAGUACAACUGGUCCGCCCUCCGGGUGAGCACAUAGUUUGGUCUUGGCAUCUUGCUGGAAAUUGUUGCUGCACUUGGCUGUGUGGCGCAGUGUCCAGCACUUUCACUUUGAGGAAAUUGGAGUGUUUCAAGCCGGCACAUGCCUUUGGACACAGUAGCAUGGAAUAAUUAGAUUGGGUUUUUGCUCCAAUUUGUCGGUUUCUGGAGCUGAGGUGAGUAUUAAUGGGGAUUGUUGGGGGCAUCCGAAUUUAGCCGUCAGAUGUGAAAUUCUUGGAUCUGCUAAAGACGGACAAUUGCGAAAGCGUUUGCCCAGGAUGUUUUCAUUGA
rnacentral:rRNA from 1 species